rnacentral:SRP_RNA from 1 species
GCCGGGCGCGGUGGCGCGUGCCUGUAGUCCCAACUACUCGGGAGGCUGAGGCUGGAGAAUCCCUUGAGUUCAGGAGUUCUGGGCUGUAGUGCGCUAUACCGAUCGGGUGUCCGCACUAAGUUCGGCAUCAAUAUGGUGACCUCCCGGGAGCGGGGGACCACCAGGUUGCUUAAGGAGGGGUGAACCGGCCCAGGUCGGAAACGGAGCAGGUCAAAACUCCCGUGCUGAUCAAUAGUGGGAUCGCGCCUGUGAAUAGCCACUGCACUCCAGCCUGGGCAACAUAGUGAGACCCUGCCUCUU